AUUGAACGCUGGCGGCAUGCCUUACACAUGCAAGUCGAACGGCAGCACGGGAGCAAUCCUGGUGGCGAGUGGCGAACGGGUGAGUAAUAUAUCGGAACGUGCCCAGUCGUGGGGGAUAACGUAGCGAAAGCUACGCUAAUACCGCAUACGAUCUAUGGAUGAAAGCGGGGGGAUCGCAAGACCUCGCGCGAUUGGAGCGGCCGAUAUCAGAUUAGGUAGUUGGUGAGGUAAAGGCUCACCAAGCCGACGAUCUGUAGCUGGUCUGAGAGGACGACCAGCCACACUGGGACUGAGACACGGCCCAGACUCCUACGGAGGCAGCAGUGGGGAAUUUUUGGACAAUGGGCGCAAAGCCUGAUCCAGCAAUGCCGCGUGCAGGA
rnacentral:rRNA from 1 species